AUUGAACGCUGGCGGCAGGCUUAACACAUGCGAGUCGAGCGGAGAGAGGUAGCUUGCUACUGAUCUUAGCGGCGGACGGGUGAGUAAUGCUUAGGAAUCUGCCUAUUAGUGGGGGACAACAUUUCGAAAGGAAUGCUAAUACCGCAUACGUCCUACGGGAGAAAGCAGGGGAUCUUCGGACCUUGCGCUAAUAGAUGAGCCUAAGUCGGAUUAGCUAGUUGGUGGGGUAAAGGCCUACCAAGGCGACGAUCUGUAGCGGGUCUGAGAGGAUGAUCCGCCACACUGGGACUGAGACACGGCCCAGACUCCUACGGGAGGCAGCAGUGGGGAAUAUUGGACAAUGGGCGCAAGCCUGAUCCAGCCAUGCCGCGUGUGUGAAGAAGGCCUUAUGGUUGUAAAGCACUUUAAGCGAGGAGGAGGCUACUUUAGUUAAUACCUAGAGAUAGUGGACGUUACUCGCAGAAUAAGCACCGGCUAACUCUGUG
rnacentral:rRNA from 1 species